CUCUGACAGCCCAACACACGCCCUGGCCACGCCCCCAACCACAUGCACUCACCUGAUUUGUCCGCAGUUCAAGAUGGCUCCCGACUCCAGUUUCAAAAAUGUCAGUGUCUCAACAGACAAGAGACAGACAACUGCGACCAAAUCAAGUCAGACAGAGGCUUUAAAAAUAAGUAAUCCGAGGCUGUUUAACCCCUCAGGCUGUAUUUUAUGAGUUCUCUUUGCUGGAUAGAUUUUUCUGUCACGGAUCAUUUAAAAUAUAAGCCAAACAAUAAAUAAUACAUCCACUUCUGUGCUCCUGCCCUGCCGACGUGUCACCUGAAGCUGAUGACGUCACAGAUACAAAAUCUUCCUGAAAGCAACAAAAGAAAACCUGUUCCUGCUUCUGCUGUGUGCCACUUUUCCAUCUCCUGAUCUCUCUUGCUGUGGGGCAAUUUGUGUUGGAGCCUGCCUACUUGGGAGGAAACAAGGACAUUUUUUUUUUUUUUUUGUGGGGAAGGGAUUUAUGUUUAUUUUUGAAUGGACAUUUACAAAAUACAAAAAAACUGUGGAACAAACAAUUCUGUUGUUGGUGUUAUGUGUAAAACAAUUGUCAUUCAUUGUACUUAAGGGUCUACACCUUGAAGUGUAUGGUCCUUGUGUGACUGGUAAAAAAA